CAUUGCUGGAACGCGCCCCAGGCGCACCCAGAAACCCUUUGUGAACUUAUACCUUACUGUUGCCUCGGCGCUGGCUGGUCCUUCGGGGCCCCUCACCCUCGGGUGUUGAGACGGCCCGCCGGCGGCCAACCUAACUCUUGUUUUUACACUGAAACUCUGAGGAUAAAACAUAAAUGAAUCAAAACUUUCAACAACGGAUCUCUUGGUUCUGGCAUCGAUGAAGAACGCAGCGAAAUGCGAUAAGUAAUGUGAAUUGCAGAAUUCAGUGAAUCAUCGAAUCUUUGAACGCACAUUGCGCCCUCUGGUAUUCCGGAGGGCAUGCCUGUUCGAGCGUCAUUUCAACCCUCAAGCCUGGCUUGGUGAUGGGGCACUGCUUUUACCCAGAAGCAGGCCCUGAAAUUCAGUGGCGAGCUCGCCAGGACCCCGAGCGCAGUAGUUAAACCCUCGCUCUGGAAGGCCCUGGCGGUGCCCUGCCGUUAAACCCCCAACUUCUGAAAAUUUGACCUCGGAUCAGGUAGGAAUACCCGCUGAACUUAAGCAUAUCAAUAAGCGGAGGAAAAGAAACCAACAGGGAUUGCCCUAGUAACGGCGAGUGAAGCGGCAACAGCUCAAAUUUGAAAUCUGGCCUCGGCCCGAGUUGUAAUUUGCAGAGGAUGCUUCUGGCGCGGUGCCUUCCGAGUUCCCUGGAACGGGACGCCACAGAGGGUGAGAGCCCCGUAUGGUCGGACACCAAGCCUGUGUGAA
rnacentral:rRNA from 1 species